rnacentral:rRNA from 1 species
UAGCAAUAUUCUGUAGUUGGAGCGACGCAAGGGUGCGUAACACGUGGGUAAUCUGCCAUGAAGUUUGGGAUAACUCGCUGAAAGGCGAGCUAAUACCGGAUGUGAAGAUUGGAAGGCAUCUUUUGAUCUUCAAAGUUGGGGACCGUAAGGCCUGACGCUUCAUGAUGAGCCCGCGGCCUAUCAGCUAGUUGGUGAGGUAACGGCUCACCAAGGCUAAGACGGGUAGCUGGUCUGAGAGGACGACCAGCCACACUGGAACUGAGACACGGUCCAGACACCUACGGGUGGCAGCAGUCGAGAAUUUUUCACAAUGGGGGAAACCCUGAUGGAGCGACGCCGCGUGGGGGAUGAAUGGCUUCGGCCCGUAAACCCCUGUCAUUCGCGAACAAUGCCUGUGUAUUAACACCAUACAGGUUGAUAGUAGCGGAAGAGGAAGGGACGGCUAACUCUGUGCCAGCAGCCGCGGUAAUACAGAGGUCCCAAGCGUUGUUCGGAUUCACUGGGCGUAAAGGGUGCGUAGGCGGUCGGGUAAGUCUGAUGUGAAAUCUCGGAGCUCAACUCCGAAACUGCAUUGGAUACUAUUCGGCUUGAGGUCUGGAGGGGGGACUGGAAUUCUCGGUGUAGCA